CGAGGCUCAGUGUGCCUUCCUGGAAAAAUGUAAACAUGAAUCUGUGGAUUUCCUUGGGAUGAAGAUUAGAUUCCUACUGAGGCAUGACGGAUGAAGGAGGAGGAGGUGUUUGAACUGGAGUGUGACUUCCCUGAUGUUCCUCAGGAAACAGGAUGUUAUUCUACCUGACACAGGGUCACUGAGGAGCCAGUCGCCCAAAUCCCAAAUCCUGGGUAGAGAGGCUCAGUGAAUGUGGAGUGGAAUGUGUGCACGCGGAUCAGUGCAUCAGAGGAGACGCUGUAGAAGGACAAAGUGCCAGCGGGCCAGUCCAGAUACACUCCUACUCUGUUUAAGUGGGAGGAGGAGGGGACAGGUAUGGCAAUACUCUCGUCAUUGUGCCAGGCAUUGUAACCAUCAUCAGAGCAGUGCACACUCCAGGACUUCAUAUUGAAUCCAAGAUCACAGUCAUUACCAUCACCUAUCCUGUUGAUUCCUUUAUAUGUCACUGCUAUAUCAGCCCCUUCCCCACUCCACUCUACCUCCCAGUAACAGCGCCCAGUCAGACCCUCUCUACAAAGCACCUGUCUGCAGAAGUCAAAUCUCUCUGGGUGAUCAGCAUACGGCUGCUCGUCUCUCACCUUUGUCACCUUCCUGUUCUGCUCAGACAGAGUAAGCUCUCUGAAUGCUGUGUUUGGGUCCAGUGUGAGAUCAGAGGCAUCUGAUGGGGGAGACCGAGACAACAUGACAUCAAUAGAGCCAACCAACACUGUUUACUGUUCUCCAGCUACAUAUGGUGUCGUCAGUGAUUGUCAGACAUCGGACUGGAGCCCAAUUGUUUCUUUCAGAACACUUUUCUUCUAUCACUUAAAUCAACAUUAGAGAACGUUUGUUCCCGUUCCUAAUUCUACAUCAGUCUACAGGAAGCAGUUCACCAACAGUGCCAGCUACAGAGUUGACAACAUGAUUCUAGUUAUAUUUAGUGGGAUGUUGGUGGUUUGGAUCUAUGGCUCCAUAGAAUGAGAGUUUCAAUCUGACUGGACCAACUAGUUCAAUCAGGUGUUCUGGAAUUAUCUCUGGCCCUCUGUGUGACUGUAUCACAUGUAAAAUAUAUAAAUGAAUCAAAUAAGAUGAUAAAAAAGAGAAUGACAUAGCUGUAAAACAUUAUCCUAAAAAUAAACCAUCAGGUUAGUGAAUACCCUUGGUGUUAAAUAGGAGAGUUUCAGCAUGAGAUAUCCUUUAUAUAUUACAUUUAUUUUACUAGGUCAAUAUGGCGACAAACUGGUGGCAAUUGGGAACAAAGUCAAUAGUUGGAAGUUCAUUGAAGAUAAUGCCAAUGUUGAUGCUUUUUUUCAUUAAGUAGCCUAUUUUCUCUUGAACCUGGUCUAUCCACUAGAGAAUCAUGGACAAUAUUGACACAGAUAUAAACAAUGAAUAUUAUAUAUGAAAAAACAAUGGUGAUUCAAUUUUAAAUGACCAAAGUUACUAUAGAUUUCAAUAUAUUUUCUGUUAAUUACCAAAAUUACUGAAUAAAUUAUUGGUGGCUUUGCAACCCUAGUCAACACUCACAUUUCAUAAGAUCGGAUUUCGAACAGCACUCUCCACCAUGGUCCACACUGUAGGAAUAAAACACCAUGAUUCCAUAUCACUUACUCACUCACACGCACACACACACGCACACACACACACGCACGCACUGAUCAUUUCUGUUGAGCAAUGAUGAUGUCAUGUCACUAAUACAAGAACAUACAAUUCAAGUUAUGGAUACACUCACAAGCAAGCAUAAAUGAAGUCUCUCUCUCUCUCUCUCUCUCUCUCUCUCUCUCUCUCUCUCUCUCUCUCUCUCUCUCUCUCUCUCUCUCUCUCUCUCUCUCUCUCUCUCUCUCUCUCUCUCUC